ensembl:snoRNA U8 U8 small nucleolar RNA
UCGUCAGUGAGGUACAUCCUUACCUGUUACUUCCUCCGGGAAGUUGCAGAACAUGAUGAAUGGAGAUAAAUGAGACAUGAUUAUUGUCUCCCUCUUAGUAGGAACAGCAACACCUGCUAAGAACCAUUCUGAU